UGGUAUAAUUUAGAUUGAGAUGCCCUGUGGGGAAACGAACUAGCGCGGAACUGGUUCGUUUCUAGUGCGUUUGGAACCAUGACUAGUACGCGUUAAUUCUCUUUUGCAUGCUAGCG